rnacentral:rRNA from 1 species
GACGAACGCUGGCGGCGUGCUUAACACAUGCAAGUCGAACGGAAAGGCCCUGCUUUUGUUGGGUGCUCGAGUGGCGAACGGGUGAGUAACACGUGUGUAACCUGCCCUUGACUUUGGGAUAACUUCUGGAAACUGGGGCUAAUACCGGAUAGGAGCUCCUGAUGCAUGGGGUUGGUUGGAAAGUUUCGGCGGUUGGGGAUGGACUCGCGGCUUAUCAGCUUGAUGGUGGGGUAGUGGCUUACCAAGGCUUCGACGGGUAGCCGACCUGAGAGGGUGACCGGGGACAUGGGGACUGAGGUAGGGACCAGAAGCGAACGGGAGGCAACAGUGGGAAGUUGUGCACAGUGGGCGGAAGCCUGAGACAGCGACGCCGGGUGCGGGAUGACGGCCUUCGGGGUAUAAACAGCUUUCGACUGUGACGAAGCGUGCGUGACGGUAAUGGGUAAAGAAGCAACGGCUAACUACGUG